rnacentral:rRNA from 1 species
UGAAUACGAGAUGCUACGGCGUCGAAGCAGUCUAUGUCAUACUUCCAAGAAAAGCUCGCACUGUCAUAAACAAAUAAUGCCUGUACCAUAACCGACACAGGUGGGUAGGUAGAGUAUACUAAGGGGCGCGAGAUAACUCUCUCUAAGGAACUCGGCAAAAUGACUCCGUAACUUCGGGAGAAGGAGUGCCUUAUUUAUAAGGUUGCAAUAACAAGAUCCAAGCAACUGUUUAUCAAAAACACAGGUCUCCGCUAAGUCGUAAGACGAUGUAUGGGGGCUGACGCCUGCCCAGUGCCAGAAGGUUAAAGAAGUUGGUUAGCAUUCGCGAAGCUGAUAACUGAAGCCCUGGUGAACGGCGGCCGUAACAAUAACGGUCCUAAGGUAGCGAAAUUCCUUGUCGGGUAAGUUCCGACCCGCACGAAAGGCGUAAUGAUUUGGAUACUGUCUCGGAGAGGGGCUCGGUGAAAUAGACUUGUCUGUGAAGAUGCGGACUACCUGCACCAGGACAGAAAGACCCUAUGAAGCUUUACUGUAACUUGAGAUUGAAAUUGGACUUUACUUGCGCAGUAUAGGUGGGAGGCGUUGAUAAUAUUCUUGCGGGAUUAUUUGAGCCAUCAGUGAGAUACCACUCUUGUAAUGUUAGAUUUCUAACUUUGUAUCAUUAUCUGGUCAAAGGACAGUUUCAGGCGGGCAGUUUGACUGGGGCGGUCGCCUCCUAAACGGUAACGGAGGCGCACAAAGGUUUCCUCUGAACGGGUAGAAAUCGUAUCUAGAGUGUAAAGGCAUAAGGAAGCUUGACUGUGAGACCUACAAGUCGAGCAGGGACGAAAGUCGGUCUUAGUGAUCUGACGGUGCUGAGUGGAAAGGCCGUCACUCAACGGAUAAAAGUUACUCUAAGGAUAACAGGCUGAUCUCCCCCAAGAGUUCACAUCGACGGGGAGGUUUGGCACCUCGAUGUCGGCUCAUCGCAUCCUGGGGCGGUAGUACGUCCCAAGGGUUGGGCUGUUCGCCCAUGAAAGCGGUACGCGAGCUGGGUUCAGAACGUCGUGAGACAGUUCGGUCCAUAUCCGGUGUAGGCGUUAGAAUAUUGAGAGGAGCCUUCUUUAGUACGAGAGGACCGAGAAGGACAUACCUCUGGUGUACCAGUUAUCGUGCCAACGGUAAACGCUGGGUAGCUAUGUAUGGAGUGGAUAACCGCUGAAAGCAUCUAAGUGGGAAGCCCACCUCAAGAUAAGUAUUCUC